GGCGCGGGGCCCGGAGAGGGCGCGCCGCGGGGGGGGGCUUCCGCGCGGCGGCGGGCGGCGGCCGGGAGCAGGACGGCGUGGGGCGGCGCCGGCCCCGCCGCGCCUCCCCCGUCGGCGGCCCCGGCGAGCGGCGGUGGUACAGUCCGAGACAGCCCCCGGCUAUAAAUAGCGCCAGGCGCAUGGCUCUUCGGGAGGCGCUGAGAUUCCGGGCCCGGCGGCCGCGGGGAGCGGGUGCCCGUUAGGAACGGGGCUGCCGGCCUCCUCUUUGCCUUUUGGGGGCUCUUUUUGUAAUAGCAGCAGAUUUAAAUCUUGCAAUCACCGCUGGGAAGCGAGCUGUAUCAUCUUGAGAAAUCAGACCACAGAGCUGGGCCUGCAGCUGGCAGGCUGGGUCAUCUUUAAUCGCUUAACCCUUCAUAUCAAAGGAUGGGUCGUAGCAGCAGAUUCCUCCUCAAGAAUUUGCCAUGGCAGAUUUUCUCAAGGAAGAUCUGGGAGUUAAAAUGAAGCAGAGUGUGUACAGCAAAAACCUUGCCUUGUAAGUUGGCUUUUAUGCCUAUACACAUGAUUGGUUUUAUGUGUAUGUCUAUGUAACUCUCUCUUAUGGGCCUGUGUCCAUGCCUGGGAUAUGUGUGGCUGUGAUGUGUAUGUACACCUGUUGCCUGGGAUAUGUGUGGCUGUGAUGUGUAUGUACACCUGUUUAAUGUGAAAAUGUGCUGUAUGCAUGUGUGGCUG
rnacentral:lncRNA from 1 species